rnacentral:rRNA from 1 species
UCGAGUCUGGGCGGCACACCUUUUUAACUUGUAUUCCAGGUUUAACCGGCCGACCAGGGUAGGUUAUUAUUAGAAUUCCCCUUUGUUUGGGGGAUCCCCCCGGGAAACUUGUUUUUAUCCCGCCUUUCGCCUUCGGGGGAAAGGGGGCAGUUACUCGCUCUCGUUUUUAGAUGAGCCUAAGUCGGAUUAGCUAAAUGGUGGGGUAAAGGCCUUCCCAUGGCGACGAUUUGUAGCUGGUCUGAGAGGAUGUUCAGCCACCCCCGGGAUUGAGACACGGCCCGGGAUUCCUACGGGAGGCAGCCAGUGGGGAAUAUUGGCCAAUGGGGGAAACCCUGAUCCAGCCAUGCCGCGUGUGUGAAGAAGGCCUUUUGGUUGUAAAGCACUUUAAGCAGUGAAGAAGACCAUACGGUUAAUACCCGUAUGCGAUGACAUUAGCUGCAGAAUAAGCACCGGCUAACUCUGUGCCAGCAGCCGCGGUAAUACAGAGGGUGCAAGCGUUAAUCGGAAUUACUGGGCGUAAAGCGAGCGUAGGUGGCUUGAUAAGUCAGAUGUGAAAUCCCCGGGCUUAACCUGGGAACUGCAUCUGAAACUGUUAAGCUAGAGUAGGUGAGAGGGAAGUAGAAUUUCAGGUGUAGCGGUGAAAUGCGUAGAGAUCUGAAGGAAUACCGAUGGCGAAGGCAGCUUCCUGGCAUCAUACUGACACUGAGGCUCGAAAGCGUGGGUAGCAAACAGGAUUAGAUACCCUGGUAGUCCACGCCGUAAACGAUGUCUACUAGUCGUUGGGUCCCUUGAGGACUUAGUGACGCAGCUAACGCAAUAAGUAGACCGCCUGGGGAGUACGGCCGCAAGGUUAAAACUCAAAUGAAUUGACGGGGGCCCGCACAAGCGGUGGAGCAUGUGGUUUAAUUCGAUGCAACGCGAAGAACCUUACCUGGUCUUGACA